rnacentral:lncRNA from 10 species
UAAAGUGAAAGCAAGUUUACUAAGCAAGUAAAGGAACAAGGCAGGGUGCAGUGGCUCACGCCUGUAAUCCCAGCACAUUGAGAGAGGCUGAGGAAUACAGGCAUGAGCCACAGAGCCCAGCCAAAACUACAUUUUAAAAAUAAUUUUUUAUCAUUACACACUCCACUAGAAACCAUUUAACCCAAUUUAUGGACUUACAUUUCUUCCAUUGAAGAACUUGAAGGAUCCAAAAAUCGAGGUGACAUUCUCAGAUUUGUGUGGCAAAAAAAGAAUAGAAAAAUAACAGAUGCAAAGAAUGUGUUCCACCAAUAUGUGGAGGAUCCCUUUUAUUU